rnacentral:rRNA from 1 species
ACGGAGGGGGCUAGCGUUGUUCGGAAUUACUGGGCGUAAAGCGCGCGUAGGCGGCUAUUCAAGUCAGGGGUGAAAGCCCGGGGCUCAACCCCGGAAUUGCCCUUGAAACUAGAUAGCUAGAAUCUGGGAGAGGUGAGUGGAAUUCCGAGUGUAGAGGUGAAAUUCGUAGAUAUUCGGAAGAACACCAGUGGCGAAGGCGGCUCACUGGACCAGAAUUGACGCUGAGGUGCGAAAGCGUGGGGAGCAAACAGG